rnacentral:rRNA from 1 species
GUGGGGAAUAUUGGACAAUGGGCGAAAGCCUGAUCCAGCCAUGCCGCGUGUGUGAAGAAGGUCUUCGGAUUGUAAAGCACUUUAAGUUGGGAGGAAGGGCAGUAAGUUAAUACCUUGCUGUUUUGACGUUACCGACAGAAUAAGCACCGGCUAACUUCGUGCCAGCAGCCGCGGUAAUACGAAGGGUGCAAGCGUUAAUCGGAAUUACUGGGCGUAAAGCGCGCGUAGGUGGUUUUGUAAGUUGGAGGUGAAAUCCCCGGGCUCAACCUGGGAACUGCCUCCAAAACUGCAUGACUAGAGUACGGUAGAGGGUAGUGAAAUUUCCUGUGUAGCGGUGAAAUGCGUAGAUAUAGGAAGGAACACCAGUGGCGAAGGCGACUACCUGGACUGAUACUGACCCUGAGAUGCGAAAGCGUGGGGAGCAAACAGGAUUAGAUACCCUUGUAGUCC